AUUCUCAUGAAGAAUCACACGCUUCAGUUUGUGCUCUCUCUGCUUCACAAAGUAAAAACCACGUUAGAGGAAAGAGCACUGAAUGAAGGAGGAUGCUUCUCUGGGGAAGGCCACCGAUCAUCGCCUGCAGGACGGCGGAUCCACGGAGGGAAACACUCAGACAUCAGCCCAUCAACAGGGACGCAGGCAGAUCUAAUGUUAACCAUUUAAACACACAGUCGAUCUGGAGGUUCCUGCAG